GGACACUUGGGCAGCACAUAUACUAAAAUUGGAAGGAUACAGAGAAGAUUAGCAUGGCCCCUGCACAAGGAUGACACACAAAUUUAUGAAGCUUUCCAUUUGAUA
ensembl:snRNA LOC120093901 U6 spliceosomal RNA